rnacentral:rRNA from 1 species
GCGGCCUAUCAGCUUGUUGGUGAGGUAACGGCUCACCAAGGCUACGACGGGUAGCUGGUCUGAGAGGACGACCAGCCACACUGGAACUGAGACACGGUCCAGACACCUACGGGUGGCAGCAGUGGGGAAUAUUGGGCAAUGGAGGGAACUCUGACCCAGCGACGCCGCGUGCGGGAUGAAGGCCUUCGGGUUGUAAACCGCUUUCAGCAAGGAAGAAGCGAAAGUGACGGUACUUGCAGAAGAAGCACCGGCUAACUAUGUGCCAGCAGCCGCGGUAAUACAUAGGGUGCAAGCGUUGUCCGGAAUUAUUGGGCGUAAAGAGCUCGUAGGUGGUUCGUCACGUCGGAUGUGAAAAUCUGGGGCUUAACCCCAGACCUGCAUUCGAUACGGGCGAGCUAGAGUGUGGUAGGGGAGACUGGAAUUCCU